rnacentral:rRNA from 1 species
CCUACGGGUGGCAGCAGUGGGGGAUAUUGCACAAUGGGGGAAACCCUGAUGCAGCGACGCCGCGUGUGGGAAGACGGUCCUCUGGAUUGUAAACCACUGUCCCCAGGGACGAAGAUGACGGUACCUGGGGAGGAAGCUCCGGCUAACUACGUGCCAGCAGCCGCGGUAAUACGGAGGAUGCGAGCGUUAUCCGGAUUUAUUGGGUUUAAAGGGUGCGCAGGCGGAGGUGCAAGUCAGCGGUCAAAUUGCGGGGCUCAACCCCGUACUGCCGUUGAAACUGCAUCCCUUGAGUGCGCGAGAAGUAUGCGGAAUGCGUGGUGUAGCGGUGAAAUGCUUAGAUAUCACGAAGAACUCCGAUUGCGAAGGCAGCUUACUAAACUGCCACUGACAUUGAUGCUCGAAAGUGUGGGUAUCAAACAGGAUUAGAUACCCCAGUAGUC